GGAGAGUAUCUGAAGUUUUUCAGCCUUGCUUUGCAUUAGCAGCAAGGAACGUAGUGCAUAUUGUACUUAUGAGGAGCAUAAGAGCCAGGAGGCACAACGUGUAUCUAGCUGUGUUGGGUGCUUUGGACCAGACGUGAGAAGUUCAGGGAGAUGUGGAUCACCACAGGAUGGCGUAUCGUGGCUUGUAAAGCACAGAACGGUAUUUAAUGAGCAGUUGGUAAUACUGACUGAAGUGCGGCUGAACUAUGUUCAUCCUGUUACAUCUAUUGCUAGAAAUUUCUAAUGUUUUCUUUCCUUUCACUUGCAAUGUUACCUCUUCCUUUCAGAGUAAAUGCUAACUUUCCAGAGUGAGGUUUGGACUUCAUUGUACUAAUAACCUUAAAACUGAUAAAAAGAGGCAGAUGCUCUUUGGUUAUAAGAAUAACACAAUCCCAUGCUAGAGGAGACUUUGAUCAAAUUUACUGACAACCUGAAAUGAACGAAAAGGCCCUACUCGUAGCAAGAGAGCUUUUCUAGGAGUAUAUUGCAUAUUGGCUGUUUUCCAAGCUCCGUGAAAUCUUUUAGAAGCAUGCUGUGACAUAUUUCAGUUGGUUUUAGUGAACUGCAGUGUACAAGCUGGGGUUUUUUCCUGCAGCGCUGAUGCUGCAGCAUUCCCAUCAGGCCGCGUGCAGGAAGCGUCUUUCUGUUAUUUCUCUGUGUGGGCACGCACAGACCUGGAUCUUGGAGAAUUUGCAGCGGCUUCAGCUCUGUAACCUGCAGCGCAAGGGGAACAUCGGCCUGCACGGAGAGAGCGUCCGACCACGUAGCUGUGCUCCGUUGCCACGUCCAGGCUAACUUGAUGUGGCAGCCACUGAAAGCUUGCACUGAGGAACUGGCCCAGAGGAAGCGACUCCGCACUUGUGGCUCAUCAGCCCCGGCAGGAAACAGCAGGUCAAAGUUAGAAGGAACUUACUUAAAAGCUAAUGAGUGAGUGGUGCAGCAAACACUGGGAGAAAGCAUAGUUCAAGAGCCAGCAGAGGAGCUUGGGGUUCUCUACCUUGGUCCUUAUUCCACUUGCUCUCUGUUGGUUCAUAUCUGUUUAACCAGAGAGAUGCCAAGGUGAUGAUCUAUCAGAUAAGGAUUUGUAGGUGAGACUGUGCCCUCUCCUGUUCUGCGCACAGCUCUCCCUGGAAAAUAGGGUCAGUACAGAGCACACACUAUUUAAUCUUACUCAGUAUGUUUUUAUGAAACAAAAUCCUCAUGACUUUAUAUCUCAGCUUAGCAGAUACUAGUUUUUUCAGAUGUGUGUAAGGUCAGUAGUCACAAAUGUAGCAGCCUAGAACUGCAGGACGGGUUUGACCAUUCUGUGCAAAAAUUGGUACAAUUCAGUGGCAGAAGUAGCAAUAUAUAUUGUUCCUGCCAGGUGGCGGCAGGGUUUUUUUAUAGGUAAGCUUGGGGAAGCUCACCUUGGUGGACUUUCCAAAGGGCAUGAGGUCACAUCAUUAGGCAGACUCACAUUUUGAAGUGUAUUUGUCACUGUGCAAUACAUUGGGGUUUUUUUUUAUUCCUCCUUUAGUAUUGGAAUUGGAAAUUCAAGUUGGAGAAAUGUGAAAGCAAUUGGGCCUAAUCCAUUCCUGUCAUUACUCCUUUUGUUUUCACUGGAGUUACUCCAAGGCUGAAUUCAGCAUAUGAUGAACAACUUGUUCUCCAAAGUUGGAACUUAGGGGAGAAGGUUCUAGGGAUGAUCACGCAACUCUGAGGCUCCUUCUCAAACAGCUGAAGCUCCCACAAGAGGCACAAUAUAUGGUGAGUUCAGGUUAUUGAAUUUAGUACAACAUUCUAGUAAUAAGCCCGCUAGUCAUAAUAAGACAUUAUUAUCUAUUAGAACAAUUACUUGAAUGAAACCCAACUGCUAGCUCACUUAGAUUGGAUGGAAAAAUCCUAGCUGUUGAUCUCAAUUGCCAGUUAGCUGAACAGACGCUAACUACGAGCAAACAACAAAUGGUUCUGAGGCUGGCAAUCCUCUUCCCACUUGCUUUUCCUUUCACCUUUUCUGGAGCCAGCUCCUCCAGGGUUGCCACUUGUGAAACAUUGCCUGCUCUUCAUGCAUUGACCAUCUCAGCUGCAGCCCAGGAAAGUCUCCAAAGAGGUUACAAGCCCUAGGUCUGUUUUGGUUAUAUGGAAAAAGGAGAGUGCUAUAAGCUAUCGAGAAGCUGCACAUUACCAACUGAGGACUAAGUGGUGUUUGUUUAGGUUUGUUUUUUGCAGGAGGGGAGAUAUUUCUGUUAAGAACUAAGAUGAAACUCUUCACAGAUCUGCAAGAAUGAACCAGUCCUCACUGCUGGUUAAUCCCUCCUGUGCUCCUGUGUGCCGUUGGAGGGGUCAUGGCAGACACAAGAUCCCCAUGGUAAAAUUAAGCUUUUCUUUCUUGGAAAAUAAUCAUUACUGUCUCUCUGGCUCACUCCAUUUCAUUUACUUUCUAAACAACUUUGAUCACAAAGGGCUCUAGGAGGAAUGCAGCACUUGCAGAGGAAAGUCCUGGAUUAUUUUCUUCGUUUGAGAGUCUUGUGAAAGUUGUGUUUCCUGCUCUUGCCCGGGGUGCAGUCUUCGCUGUGUGUGAUUUGGAGGGUGGGGGAUCCACCAAGCUUGCCGUGCUUGGGAGGCCAGAGUAGCUUUCUGCUGAACACCAUGAGUCCUGUCCGACUAAUGGAAAAUCUCUCUGUCCCAAAGCCCAGCUGACACCGAGGCAGGAGAACUUCUUGUAUCAGCUCUGCCGUGUUGGGGCAUAUCACCUCUGCAGCUCUGCUCAGCCAGUUUUCAGUGCCACAGCCACGGUACGUCCUUGGUCUUGCUGAGGUUGAGCACUUCUCUGUUACCCUUUGGAUAUCAUUUUCUUCCUCACCUACUUUGCUCCUGAGGUAGGGACUGGAUGCUGGCUGCUCUCCUUACUGCUUCUCCUUCCAGACCCUCUCUGUUUGCAAUGAUCCAAGCUGCAGUUAGUACCACCGCAGCCGACUGCCCUGACUACCAAGGAUGGUACAGAACAUGCUAAGAAUAGCAACAGCAUUACAGGAAGGGGCAUUUAUAGUGUUUAUUACAGCUAACUGAAAGUAGAGGAAGCACUUCCCUAACACCUUAGCUGAUGCACAGGGUGAAAUAUUUUCUUCAACAGUUACAUACUUAGUAAGUGGGAAGGAAGGAGCUUUCGCUUUUAAAACCAAAAUAAAGCAACUUCCAAUCUUACCUGCCUUAUUUCUCUCCACAACAGAAAAUGCACCCCUAAUAAGCUGGUCAGUGUAAUAAUGGUCAAUGAGAUGCUGCUUUGCUUAGAUCUGAGGAGGUUUUAGGGAGAAGGCAGAAAAUUUGAUGUAUUCCACACAGUUACUGACCUCAAGGCUCAGUGGAACAAACACCAGAUAGCCAAGGAAAACAGAAAGAAUAGUUAAAAUCUUACAAACCACAGCGCGGAGGGAUUAUCACACCAAACUUUGGUUAAAGUUCACAUUGCAAAGAGGAUCUCUGUCUUCCUAGGAACUACAGCUCCUACUGUUUGUCAGAUAUGUUGGUCCAACACAUACUCACUUCCUCAACUGCAGUUGGUCACCAAGAGCGCUGUAAUUUGGACCAAGACUUUUGGAAGACUUCAACACUAAACCAAGCAUGUUAUUGCCUAGCUUAAGCACGGGGGAGGAGGGGGUGUAUUUCCCCUUCUGUGGCUGUGUUUCUGCAAGGUGCCCAAACACAAUAUAAAUGUCUGGAUUUAUACAACAUGGGCUUGACAGGGUUCAAAGGUGGGACCUGCUCAGCCUCCUGGUCCAAAAGCCUUGCCUCCCCCUGAGAGCCCAGCACCAGGUAAGACUGUAGGCUUGUGCCUCCAGCCCUGCUGCACUCUUAUUUUGUCUUCUAUUUGGGUUUUUGCUUCACUUCCCUUCAAGCAUUUGGCUCUAGGAUUUGGGGCAUCUCGUCUUUCACUUUGAAACUCUCUGUUCCUUCUAGCUAUUGAGCCACCUGGGAAUUACAGAUCCUAAGAGUUUGGAAACAAGAAGAUUAAAAAGAAAAAAAGCUGUCAAAAACUGUAUUGUCUUAAUUCCUGGAGGAGGCGGAUUGUAACUCAUGUUCUUGAAUACUGUGGUUAGGUGUUCAGCCCAGUUCUCCUGUAAGCGAAAAUUUUUUUUGUUUAUUUUGCCCUAUGAAGUAUUUGCCCAAGGACUUUCUUCUGUUCCCAGGUUAGUAGCAAUGCCUGUGGAGAAAGACUAACUGCUUCUUAAAAAAACUGCAUCAAAUCUGGGUGGAGGACACCGAUAAGCAGCCUGGCGUGGAGAGUUGGUGGGGGUGGUUUUGGAUGACUUAUUCCUCCUCAAGUGACACGAUCCCACACUGUACUUGUUCAACUCAGGCACGAACUUUCCCAAAACAAGGAAGUUUGGGUUCUGGGUUCAGCUGUGAGAGCUGAAUAUUGCUUUCCAGAUGGGUGUUUGUGCCCUUCCUUGAACAAAACCACAGUUCAGUCUUGGCCAUCGAGGCACCAGAUUUCUUCCUUGAUGCUUUCCCUGAUCCCCAGGAAUGCUCCCUGUCCCAGAGGGGCUGUGACCGGCUGCUUUGGGGGCUGUUUGUCUGACCUGUCUGCACAGGCUGCUGGAAAAGAAAGCGUCGAGAGGUGCACCUCUGGGCCAGGCCCUGGCAAGUGCUGUGGAUUUUUUUUUUUUUUUUCCUUCCCCCCUUGAACUUUGCUGAAAUGCACAGCCAUACUUCAGGACCUUCAAGGGCUGCUUCUCUAAUCUCCCCAGAAGGAUUACUGCUGCUGGAAAUCAUGAGGGCUUGGACUAGCUAUCAACUUUAUCAGGAAAGCUUCUUUCCGGCCAAGCUAGUAAGAGCUUUGCUAGGCGGGAAUCUUGGGUUGAAGCUGCUCUUCUCAUAUUUCACAGAUGGCCUCAAUGAAUGAUUUACUAGGAGAGUAAAAGAUUAGCCAGAUUCCUCCAACUGCAUCUCGAGUCAUAUAAAGCACUGGAUUUUAUUGGGGCCUAGGCAAUUCCUAAUUCUUUAGCCUUGUUAGACUGUUUUACAGUGACUAAUUGCCCUGUGUUCCCUUCCCUGAGAAUCAGGUGUCUCCUGGUGAGGAACGCAGUCUCCUCGCCUGAGCCUCACCCGCAGCUUUGGAACAGCCAUGCCAGUGAAGGCUUCUCCAUAUGGUCAGGUACCCAAAGACCACAAGACAUUAUGUCUCUAGUUGUCUUUUAUUGGAGAGGUUAGUAUGCUUCUGGGAGGGAGAUGGUAAAGGGAAUACUUAAAAUAUGCAAUGAGGUGUUUCCAUAAAAUUAUCAAAAGCUUUGCAGAAUCUUCCUAUGGAGAAGAGCCAUCGCUGGAGAGUUCACAUCUACAGGGGUUUGGGUAGGGCAAAAUCUCUUGCUUUAAUGUUUUAGCUAGUCUCCAGGGCUCAGAUGAGCUCUUCUGGGGGAAAGGAGAUUACCCCAUGUUUGCCUGUUAUGGAGUUUCUCACAUUUUUCUCCUUUACACUCGGCAGCCAGAACUCUGUGUCUCACUCUCCAUGGCAAUUCCUACAGAGUUUGGCUGUUUUAAAGGACUGCGGUACUGAUUUAGAUGUCCAAAUUGGAAAAGCAGGGUUUAAAGUGGACCCACUUUUUCCUUUAGAGUAAGACUUUUUAAAGAUCUUUUGUUAAAUUAUUUACCAGUGGUCUCACAAGAUCAACAGAUCUUUGCAUUUAAUCAUUUGCAUUCAUUUGCAUGACUUCCAUCAUGAUUUUCUCCCCUGUCCUCUAAAUAAAAAACAACCCUAAGAUCACUAAAGGGCUUGCGGGGAUGGGUUGCCCAUCGCUAUAGAUAUAUGAAGUGCACACACCAUAAAGUGUAAAGCAAUAUCGGCAUGUGCUGAUCUCAUGUAAACAGUCUUUCGUUUAUAGCAGUCAGAGAUGAGAGCUCUGAGACUCGCUGGGGGAUUCAACCCCUAGCAGAAAUGUUUAAAAUAUUUGGGUUUUAGCCAAGAGGCUAAGAAAAGAGGUUUUUCUAUCUUCCUUUUUCUCUGCUGUGAUUGCCUCACAUACAACACUAAAAGCUACGUAAGAAACAGGGAUGAGAAGAAACAGCUCUGACAGUCUCGUCCCUAAGGCAUCAAAAGAUGUUGAAGAUGCUCAGGCUGCCCCAGAAGUACAGAGAUAAUAAAACUUGCUACUUUUCCAAUUUCUGCAUCAUCAUUUAUACAUAUGAAUUGGAGCUGAACCUACUCCCCAGCGGUCUGUUUUGGUUGAACCUAUGGCAUAAAGGAGACAGAAGUAGCCCCUGGAGUCCCAUUGAUAAAAGCUCCCCCACCACAGUUCUUCAAGGCUAAAAUUUUGCCACAAGCUAUAGCAGGGUGAGGGAAGAGUUAUAAAAAGUACAGGAAUGCAAAAUUCUGUCCUCUUCUCAGUGAAGGUAGAAAUAAAAUGUGUGCGCAUGUUUCCGGGAUAGAACGUAAUCUACCAUCGGUUGUGUCUAGCAUAAAUGAACUGUGCAUUGGCAUCUGUUGUAUGUACAAUUUUUCAAGCAUAUCAGUUAGCAGAACAGAUCCUGCAUCAUUUAUUUUGAGAUGACUCUGUCCUCCCCACAAUGCAACUGACCUGUAGGAAUAGAAUAUUAUGACUAAACAUCACUUUAAAAGCAAAUGUGAUCCUUUGAUGUUUAAAAAAAAAAAAAAAAAAAAAGGUAGUAUUUGUCAAGCCUGUGUUUAUGAGGGCAACACCAAAUCUUGGAGGAUUACUCACCAUGGCAAUUUUUGAGGAUAUUAAGUCACUCACCCAGAUUUUAUCCAUAGACUGCCGGACCAGGGGGAUCCCUGGGGUUGCCUGAGUGUGAUCUCCCAUCAGUGACCAUCGAAGGUCUCGGAACCCUGAAAGACCUCAUCAGAGACUGUGCCUCCACUUCUCAUUGCCAAGCGGGUGAGGCCGUUGAUAAGGGUUUGAAAAGGCACAGUCAAAAGACGGAGGAAUUAACAGGAAGAAUUCAGAGUCAUGAGAAGAGACAUAAAAGUGAAUUUCCUUGAUUUUUUAAUAUCACUCAUUAUUUUUAGAUGUAUGAUCUUUUUGCCAGGUGCACCGAAUGGACGCCUGGGACCCUGACGUCUUACUCUGAACAGGCAUCAGGCCAUGAUUCCAGCCUUUUGCUGAGCAUCCCACCAUGUUUGAGUGUUUGGAAGUCUGUGUUGGCAAUGGUGGGACAGCUGUGCAAUAUACUGCUAUAAAACAUUCCUCUAGCAAUGUUGUCUCGCUUUUUAUUCUAUUCUUCCUGGAAACUGUUAUUGUCAAUGCAACAGCAGAUCUGCUCCUAUAGAAAGGGCUGUUCUCUGCGUGCCUGCCCUCAUCCACGCACAGUGACUGAAGAUACCCCUUUCCAAAACCAAACAGGAAUUGAAAAAAGUAAUGAGGUAAAAAGGAAAUGAAAUUGCUAAUGAAUUUAUGAGAUUACUUAAAAUGCUUAUUUCUCACCAAUUUUUAUUGCACUUUGUCAGGAUCCUGUCUGAGAGUGGCUGGGAGCACAGCAGCCCUGGCUUGCUCGCCAGCAUGAGGACGAUUGCUCAGCGGCAGAGACAGGCAAGGGUUCGAAAGGAAACAGCUGUGACCCCUUUUUGGAGCAUUUGCUCUUAUUCAUCCCCUUAGACGUAUCCCAAUAAAGGAAAUCUGGCUGGUUGUUAAUUUGAAAGCAUUUGUAGUGGUGAUGGCAUAAUAGAUAUGAAAGUUCACAGGACUCUGGCAACUACUAAUGUGUUGAGGCUUUCAGAUGAAAAAAUGAAAGCUGCCUGUAAAGGAUUCCCAUUUGUCAUGAAAACCCCACAAUACCAUGGGACAGCUGUUUGCCUGGGAUCUGUAUCUCAGAUGUAAGGAACCAGAACAGACAUGUGCUCUGUUGUACAAAGACCAUAACCCCAGAGACAGUGCUCUAGUACCUUCCUCUGGAGAUGGAUUUGGCGCUGCUGCAAGCAUGUCUGGAUAGCUGGCAGGAUCUGUUUUGGGAAGCAGGUCUCCUGUUGUCGUACAAGAGCACAAAGAGCAGCUCUGGAGCAGCUGUUAGCUACAGGCUUUCCACAGGCUGAGGUCUCUGGAUCAGAAACACUCUAUCUUCCACCAGCACAUCCCCCUGAACUGCCCCACACAUCAGCGAUCUCUCUUCAGGCAAGAAAACGUCGGUGACACUCACAAGCAACAAUCCUCGUUUCCUCCAGGCGCGGAUGCAGGCGGAGGGUAACACACCACUGCUGCAGCCAUCCCAGGUCGUGGAGUACCCACGCCAAGGGGGAGGGGGCAGCCCCAGGCACGCAGCGGGACAUAGGCAAAAGCUGUGUCUGGAGAUCCUCAAUUUUCCUCCAGCUGAACACGUUUGUUCACCUCACCCACUCUUUCGGAUAAAAGACGCUGUCCUGUGUUGCGGCUGAUGCGCUCACCAGGUUCAAUUCUCCGCGGUGGCAAUCCCAAGCUGUUGGGCAGGGGCUUCUCAUUUUUUCUCCUGUAGCAUAGAGCAGAUAAAUCAUUGUUAUUGCUCUGCCCUCUGCCUUGUUUCAGAGCAGCCUGCCUUCCCGCUGCGGAGAUGUGGUGAAGGGACGCAUGGGGCUGUGCAGCCAGAGGUGCCAGCUGCCAGAGCAGGCUGGAGAUUUCCAGUGCCUGCACUUUUCCUGCAGGACAAAAACCAGGUCUACACAACUACAACUGCACACAGGCAUGCAUUUACUUAUCUUUAUUUUCCGUUUUCCAAAACACACCUUGACCCAAGGGCUGACCCAGCUGGGGUUUACCAGCCUGCCAAGGAAGCAGUUCAAUGAAAUCUUGUGGAUCUUGGGGCAAAUACUGCUCACGGAGAACUUUCCAGGGCUCUGCUAUAAACUCAGCACGCCUGUCCCACCAGGUUCAGCCAGCCUUAGGUAGUGUCACCUCCUACAAUGCUGCUGAGGAGGCCACAGCAAUGUGCCCUCCCCAUGGGGACAGGUUGUUGGGGGUGACCAACAUCCAUCAGACCUGUAGCCGCCCCAAAAUAGAAAUAAACAAUUCAUGUUUAGUGUUGGUGCCAUUCACCUGGGGUGAACCCUACAUGCACCAACCGGCCUGUUGCUCUUUGCCGUGGCCAAAGCACCAUCUGACAGACAUCCCUGGGUUGGGGAAGAGCAUGGGGCAGGGCACAGCACACCCUGAACAGCUCCGAGUAACGUGCACGCCGUGUCACACGUAUGGUGUGAGGACCAAACUGAUGCUCGGCGUGGGAAGUUUGUGGAGCUGCUGGAAGAAAGCCAGCAGCCCGUGUCUGCUCGAGUUAGAAAAACGUCCCAGCGCUGGAUCCACCCAACUCAGCUAGAGCAGGGCUGCUUGGCCAGACGACAGGCCUGGCUCUCUCUCCAAAGUGGAUGAGAGCCAAAGGGGAUUUUUAAUUUCCAGAUGCUUUUAAAAUAAAAAUAAAGACUCUGCUGUAAACUGG